rnacentral:rRNA from 1 species
GACGAACGCUGGCGGCGUGCUUAACACAUGCAAGUCGAACGAGAGCGUAGAGAAAGCUUGCUUUUUCUACAAUCUAGUGGCAAACGGGUGAGUAACGCGUAAACAACCUGCCCUACGGAUGGGGACAACAGCUGGAAACGGCUGCUAAUACCGAAUACGUUCCGAAAGUCGCAUGACUAUCGGAAGAAAGGAUGGCCUCUAUUUAUAAGCUAUCGCCGGAGGAGGGGUUUGCGUCUGAUUAGCUAGUUGGAGGGGUAACGGCCCACCAAGGCGACGAUCAGUAGCCGGUCUGAGAGGAUGAACGGCCACAUUGGAACUGAGACACGGUCCAGACUCCUACGGGAGGUAGCAGUGGGGAAUCUUCCGCAAUGGGCGAAAGCCUGACGGAGCAACGCCGCGUGAGUGAAGACGGCCUUCGGGUUGUAAAGCUCUGUUAUACGGGACGAAUAAUCUUGUGGUUAAUACCCAUGAGAAGUGACGGUACCGUAAGAGAAAGCCACGGCUAACUACGU